CACAGAGGGUCUGUGUUUUUCACUCUCGGUCUUAGAAUCUAUCCACGACCAUACUAAUUAAAUAUUCGCUUAUUUCUACGCAAAGCUUUGUUGUUGUAGUUCAUUGCCGUGUUAUGCUGCCCCAGAAGUCUGUCUGAAAUCAGGAACCGUGUUCAAAGAGUCAUCAAAGCUUUCAGACGGAGCCGCAGCGAGUUUCAGACCGAGUCAGAUCUUUUUUUUUGACAUCAUGAUGCACGAGCUUGUUUGCUGCGUGGAAAUUUCUGCUCGACCGCCAUUUUCUUUUUCUCAGAUGAAAGUGGUUUGGCCCACUGCCUGCUUUCCUUCUUUACCGAUACACACAGGAGUCCGGUGAGAGAGAGCAAGUUAGUUAUGUUGUAAACCAGUGAACCAGGAGCCUGUGUGAAGGAUUUUAACGAUGAGGUGCCUGGGAUUUUCAGUCAUUAUGGGGUGUUCAUCAAAAUGGUUAAAGUUCUGUUUUUACUGGCUAAAUGCAUUAUUUGGAUAAUAUAAUACAAUGUUGCUUGUGCAGUUUGACUGUUGUUAAUAGUUUGUUUUUCUGUUUGAUUUCAGAUCAGUGAAGAGUUAUAUAGACUAUUCUAUUUUUAUUUAUUUUUCAGAACAAAAGCCUACAUUUGUGUGUUUUGUAGGUGCAAUAGUAAAAGGCAAGGAUUUUUGUAUUCCUUUAUUUUCCUGUACUCUGCUUUAGAAGUUAAGAACCAGGCAGAUAAUUUUGAGCUGAACACUGCUUUGAUGAGCUGAGCUCAAGGUCGUUAUUCAGAAGAACUUCAUGAACCACCUGAUAACAUUGGCGUCAUGAUCGAGGGAGUCAAAGCUGUAAAUCUUCUGAGUAGACUACAGUAAACACACAGUAAUGAUGUUUGAGUUUAUUUAUGUCUAGUCUGAGUUUGAAAGAAUGUCUCAGAGUUUUAGUCGGUAGAUGUUUCAGUUGUUGUUGUAUGUUUGUAAGACUAUCCAGUUGUUGGUUUGUAUGUGUAUGUCAGUGUAUAAA